UACGGGGGGGGCAAGCGUUGUUCGGAAUUACUGGGCGUAAAGGGCUCGUAGGCGGUUCGUCGCGUCGGCUGUGAAAACCCGAGGCUCAACCUCGGGCCUGCAGUCGAUACGGGCGGACUGGAGUUCGGCAGGGGAGACUGGAAUUCCUGGUGGUAGCGGUGAAAUGCGCAGGAUAUCAAGGAGGAACACCGGUGGCGAAGGCGGGUCUCGUGGGCCGAUGACUGACGCUGAGGAGCGAAAGCGUGGGGAGCGAACAGG
rnacentral:rRNA from 1 species